UUAGUUUAAAUCAUUGUGGGUCUACACUUUGAAAUUUGAACUCACACAAAAUGGUAGGACAUAACUUGAUUUCAUCCAA
rnacentral:pre_miRNA from 1 species